CAAAGGCUUGGUCCUGACUUUACUAUCAGCUUUAACAUAACUUACACAUGCAAGUAUCCGCAGCCCUGUGAGGAUGCCCUUAAUCCCCCGCCCGGGGACGAGGAGCAGGCAUCAGGCACAAUAUUCUAGCCCAAGACGCCUUGCCACGCCACACCCCCAAGGGAUUUCAGCAGUGAUAAAUAUUAAGCCAUAAGUGUAAACUUGAUUUAGUUAGUGUUAAGAGGGCCGGUAAAACUCGUGCCAGCCACCGCGGUUAUACGAGAGACCCUAGUUGACAGACACGGCGUAAAGGGUGGUUAAGGAGAGUAAAAAUUAUAAGCCAAAGGACCUCUUGGCUGUCAUACGCUCCUGAGCACCCGAAGCCCGAUAAACGAAAGUAGCUUUAAUAUAACCCACCUGACCCCACGAAAGCUGAGAAACAAACUGGGAUUAGAUACCCCACUAUGCUCCGCCAUAAACCCAGACGUCGCCCCACAACAGACGUCCGCCAGGGUACUACAAGCACAGCUUAAAACCCAAAGGACUUGGCGGUGCCUUAGACCCCCCUAGAGGAGCCUGUUCUAGAACCGAUAACCCCCGUUAAACCUCACCACUUCUAGUCAUCCCCGCCUAUAUACCGCCGUCGUCAGCUUACCCUGUGAAGGACUAACAGUAAGCUAAAUGGAUAUGAUCCAAAACGUCAGGUCGAGGUGUAGCGCACGAAGUGGGAAGAAAUGGGCUACAUUUUCUAUCAUAGAACACUUACGAACAGUACCCUGAAAAAACACUCAAAGGAGGAUUUAGUAGUAAAAAGGAAAUAGAGUGUCCUUUUGAACCCGGCUCUGAGGCGCGUACACACCGCCCGUCACUCUCCCCCGUCACACGCAGCAAAUGUCCAUAACACCCAAGCACUGACAAGGGGAGGCAAGUCGUAACAUGGUAAGUGUACCGGAAGGUGCACUUGGAUCAAAUC
rnacentral:ncRNA from 1 species